AUGAUCUCCAGCACAGCCAAUUCCCUCAGGCACCGGAUACCUUGUUCCAUUGUGCUCCAUUUUCCUUGGUGCACCUGGAGGUCUUCUUUACAAAGGUACCUGUCCCUUACACUUGUAAGCAGUCGCCGCCAGAGGCUGAGGGUUUCUUGGGUUCUCCCGAUCCCCUGGUCAAUGACCACAUCCCGGGACAGAGAUCCCAGUUGCCUGGCCUCACUUCCGUCCAGAAUGGUGUCAUUGGCUGCAGCGUCCCAGAUGCGGAGCAGCCAGGUCAGGAUAGACUCGUUCGUCUGGCGGGUGAAUUCCCUCCGCAGGUCUCGCAGCUCACCCAGGGAUAGCGACCGAGUGAUGAUCUCUGGCUCUGCCUCUUCUGCUGGGUGCGAAGGUCCUGCUGCAUCCUCGUCAGUCACUAUGCGGACUGAUUUGCUUUUUGAUUUCUUCUUCUGCACGGGGGCAACUGCAAUCGGUUUAGGCUGUUCUGGUUCAGUGAUGGUUUGCAUGGGGACGCUGACAGUGCUUUUGGUUCCUUUCUCCUCUGAGUCAGUCUGCGUAGACAUGGACGCUGUUGUUUUACAUUUGGUUCCUUUCUCCUCUGAGUCAGUCUGCGUAGACAUGGAUGCUGUUGUUUUACAUUUAGUUCCUUUCUCCUCUGUGACAGUCUAUGUAGAGAUGGACACUGUUGCUUUUUGUUUGGUUCCUUUCUCCUCUGUGACGGUCUGCGUAGAAAUGGAUGCGGUUGCUUUGCUCUUGGUUCCUUUCUGUGUGACAGUCUGUGUAGACACGGUAUUUGCUGCUUUGCUCCUUUUUACCUCCUCCUCAAGCAGACGUUGCACCACACUAGGUAGUGUUUUGUUUCUAAGCAUGGUGUACACAAUGCAGGCCAUAGAGAAAAAAGAGAAGAGAACUGACAAGAAGAUUAUACCAUCCUUAACAUCCAGAGGGAACUCAAUUUUUUCAAAAACUGCUGUGCCUGGCCUGAAAGGCUGGAAGAAACCACUCUCUACUCCUCCCACCAGGGGCUGGCUGUGAUUGUUGAAGAGGUCCCAGACAUAGGAGCCCAGACUAGGACAGCCAAACAAAACUGAGUAUAUACUCCGAAUGGUAUUCAUCGCCUCACAGGUUAUUAUGCUGUAGACAUAAUAAACCAUUAAAGCAAUUCUCAUACCAUUCCCUGGUUUUAACAGGAGUAAUACUACAGGCAGGUAGUUCCCCAUGUGAGGAAAAAUAUAGAGAGCAAGAUACAGUACCCACAUAGACAAGCUGAGCACCAUGGUGAAUAGGUUUCCGUUAACACAAAAUUGUAAUUCUGACUUUCUCUCAGAGCUGCCCCACGUUGGGCGCCAAAUUAUGUGCUAGUUUGAAAACAAACCAGUGGGAGGCACCAAGUCAGAAUAACAAUUUAAUGGAAAUUAAAGAAAAGGGGAAAAAAAAAGGUAAAAGAAAACACUAUCAAACUGACAGAGUCAAGGUACAACCUGACACCCUGUUAGGCAGGGUGGUGGUAGCAGUCUGGUAGAAUGGUGGCUGCAGUCCUCUGAAGCAGUGAUCCUGUAGUGAAACAGUCUGCUCUUCCUCUGGAAGUCCAGUGGUGGCUGUGUAGCUCCUGUCCUCUGGAAAUCCAGUGGGAAGCCCGUCUCUCUGGUGUUCAGCCUCAGCUUAUAUCCACGAUGGGAUGCUUGGUUCCUCCCUCUGGGUGGAGCAUCUCACAAUGGGGUAACGAGUCAUGAGGCCAAGUGUUGAUUAGGCUCAUUAACAGAAGAUAGUCCGGAGGGAGUUAUCUGUGAGUCAUGCGGCAGGACAAUGAUGGGCAAUUAACAGCAAGAUAGUCUGGGGGGAGGAGGCAAGGGAACACUGCCCCACCUGAUUUCAACAGCUGAUGGGGAUGGUAAUAGAAUACACUGCAACCCAGGACACCUAAUCAGACUCAAGGAUGUUCCUAUUAUUGAUCUGGCCUUAAACGUCAGUGCCUGCCCUGUGGGAAACCAGAAUAAAAACUCUCUGGACACAGUAGGAAGCCUUUAUACUCUUCAAAGCUUCAGGAUCAUAACCAUAAUCAAUGAAUAUUUAGAUAUUACUGAAGAAAACAUCUGAUUAUUUGGAUGAAGUUCCAGUUUGUUGAAAGACUUAAUAAGGCAAACAGUAUGAACUAUGCAUCCUUCCUUUGCUCCCACAGGUAAGGCUGAACAUGAAGCAUAUCUUCACAAAGAUUUUUAUGUUUCACAAGAAAUGAAGAAAAAACAGCAGGAAAGAAACAGUAUUGGGAAUAUUUUCAGAAAUAAGACUUGCAAGGAAAGGCUGAACUUCAACCUAGUCAUUAUGUAUAAUUAGAACAGAAAUUAUUAUUAUGUUGUCUCACAGGUGCCAAUUUCAUCUCUUGCUGCAUUUUCAGUCUUUU
rnacentral:lncRNA from 13 species